UACGAAGGGGGCUAGCGUUGCUCGGAAUCACUGGGCGUAAAGCGCACGUAGGCGGCUUGUUAAGUCAGGGGUGAAAUCCUGGAGCUCAACUCCAGAACUGCCUUUGAUACUGGCGAGCUUGAGUUCGGGAGAGGUGAGUGGAACUGCGAGUGUAGAGGUGAAAUUCGUAGAUAUUCGCAAGAACACCAGUGGCGAAGGCGGCUCACUGGACCGGCAUUGACGCUGAGGUGCGAAAGCGUGGGGAGCAAACAG
rnacentral:rRNA from 1 species